CACCAACCGCAAACGCAAGCUAGCAGUAGCAUGAAGUUAGCGAACUUGACAGUACAACUUUUGAAAUAGAAAAUGCAUCUACAUUUGAUUCAAGUCCGAUUCAAAAACUCGAUGAGACCACGAUGAGCGACCGUCUGCUUUUGAGUGAAUCCGUUCAUUCUUCAUGCUGAGGCUCCUAAGUGCUGCUGCGGUCCCAGAUUGACACUUCCAAGGGGAAGAGGCACAAAGGGAUGCGCCCCGGAGGUGGCUGCACACUCGGAAGCAAAACACCCACCAUGGACCGGAAGGCCCCGUCUGCCGCCCAGCAGGUCCUCACCUGGGGGUAAGGUCACGGCCCCGCAUGCCCGCCUCAUCGUC